UACGUAGGAGGCGAGCGUUGUCCGGAGUUACUGGGCGUAAAGGGUGCGCAGGCGGCGUCACGCGUGGCUAGAUGAAAUCUCCUGGCUUACCUGGGAGGGUGGUAGCCAGACGGUGGCGCUUGAGGGUCGGAGAGGGGCGUGGAAUUCCGGGUGGAGCGGUGGAAUGCGCAGAUAUCAGGAGGAACACCGGUGGCGAAGGCGGGUCUCUGGGCCGAUACUGACGCUGAGGAGCGAAAGCGUGGGGAGCGAACAGG
rnacentral:rRNA from 1 species